UCUCUCAUAUUAUUGAUUCAAUUAUUGUCACAGCAUCAUCUGUAUAAUAUGUUAUAUUAUUAAAUCAAUAAUUGAGACGACAAAGUUAUUCAUAUUAUUAUUUGCAAUAUUGACAAUGUCUAGAAGUUCUGUCAAGGAGAGGUUUGGUCACCUAAUUGCGCGCCAAUAAGGAGAUAUCCUUAUCGAAAAGCCCCCUCUUUCCUGAGAACAACCUGGUUGUUAAAUAUUAUGAAUUAUAAUAUUAAUGAUGAAUANNNNNNNNNNNNNNNNNNNNNNNNNNNNNNNNNNNNNNNNNNNNNNNNNNNNNNNNNNNNNNNNNNNNNNNNNNNNNNNNNNNNNNNNNNNNNNNNNNNNGAGCCCUAAAAUGUGCAAUUAUCAAAACUAUAUUUUCCUAUAAAUAGAAGCUCAUUCUACCUUCAUUUCUCACCAAUUCACUAAAGCUAUAGAGCAAUUAUUAUAGAGAGAAAUUAUAGAGAGAAAGAAGAAGAAAAGUCUGCUACCUCUCUACUCCAGUAUCCAGUUUCUUUCUAAGGUAAGGAAUAUUAUUUGUUGUACUCGUAAGGGGUAUUGUUUCUUUCGUAUUCAUGAAGAGAGCUAUUGUUAUUCCAUUCCUUAUUAUUCUGUUGGAAUAACCUGUAUACGCGUAUACAUGGUGAAAUUCUUCUGUUAUUUCAUUCAUUAUUAUUAUGUUGGAAUAUCUAUCUAUGCGAAGUACCGCAUACAUGGUGAAAUUCUUCUAUUAUUCCAUUCUUUAUUAUUCUGUCAGAAUAUCCUGUCUGUGUGUUUACGCAUGACCUGGUUCCAUUAUUUAUUAUUCUGUUGGGAAUAACCUAUCUGUGCGAUCUAUCGCAUGCAUGGUGAAUUCUUCAGUUAUUCCAUUCUUUAUUAUUCUGUUGGGAAUAACCUGUCUAUACGAAGUACCGCAUGCAUGGUGAAUUCUUCAGUUAUUUCAUUCUUUAUUAUUUUGUUAGAAUAACCUGUCUAUGUGGAUUACCACAUGCAUGGUGAAUGAUCCUUUGUAUUCAUUCUUUAUUAAAUUGUGGAAAUGAUCUGUUUACGUGGAUUAUGAUGAAAAUGGUAAUUUUUCAUGAAAAUGGUUUAGUUACAAACAUAUGAGUUAAAUAUGUUAUGUGAAGUUGAAGAAUUGGUAAAUAUGAUUUUAGGGCUUGAAAAUCCUAUAUAAGGUAUAUGUAGAUUUUUGAUGAGUGAUUUGAUCAUUAGUGAUGAAAUCUUAUGAGUAUGGCAUUUUUGAAUGAUUAAAUGCAUUAUUUAGUAAAGUGUAAAUAAUUAAAUUAAAUUGUUUAUAAGUUUAAGAAGUGAUUAAAAUAUUGUUAUAAUAUUAAAAAUAUUAGUUUAUGAGUUAUUUAAGUGAUGGAUAAUAUUUGGAUAAAUUUAAAGUCUUUAAUAUUUAUCCUUGUUUUCGUUUGAUUAAUGCUUAUAUUAUUGUCAUCAUCCUCAUGCUUAUAUUAUGAUGAAAGUCAUCUAUGGCUUACGUGCAGAGAUGGACUUGGUAUGAUUAUGACCAGGGAUUAUUCGGUAUAAUCAUGACCGUAAUGUAACAAAUGAUGUGGUAAAAGUCCUCAUUCAUUGGCCUGUAGUUCAUUGGUGGACAGUUGUUGGUAUGAUUAUGACCAGGGAUUAUUCUGUAUAAUUAUGACAAUUGAUGAUUAUAUGAAUAUCCUUGACCGUUGUGUAGGGAUGAUGUGAUUUAUUUAUUAAGCUGAGUCUUAGCGAUAAAGUUAAUGAAAAUCUUUUUAAAUCAUAGAAGAUAGUAGAUUUUAUGCUCUACUUGACUCUUCUAAUGGAUUGCUUAUUCCGCUGCAGUUAAACUUGAUGUCUACUCUAUUUUAUCAGUUUAACAUUGUUGAAGGCUAAUGAUAAUUUAUCCUACAUUAUCUUAGUCAUAAUAUUUCUUAAUGGGCUAGUUGAGCUCACCCGUUUCUUUCACUGUUCUCUUCAGGAAAUGAGAAUAUAGCUGGGACGAGUCGGGGAACGUAGUGACGGUCCAAAUGAUAGCAUUAGUAGUCCUCACUAUUCUGGUAAAUAGUGUGACAAUAAAUGUAAUGAGGACACCAUUGAGUGUGGAUAUUGUCUAGAUGACAAUAUUCUUGUUUAAACUCUCAGCUAUGUUUUGGCGUAUUUUACACGACUGUUGUAUAAUUAAGUUGUAUUUGAAUUUAUGUACCAUGUAUCUGGCGACUCAAGAUGGGUGAUGUAUACCUAUUUUGGGAGCGUCACAGUUAGUAUCAAAGCUUAGGGAUAUGAUCCCUAGCUGAGAUGUGAGACAAGAACUAGGAGGGGAGAGACGGGGAAUUCCACUACUAGAAAAACAAGAAUACGUGAGGGAAUUUUAUGACAAUUUUUAAAAACAAUCACAAAAGAUAGUAAUUUGUGAUGAACUUUUUAAACAAUCACAAAAUAAUAGUAUAUAUGAUGGCUAUUAAUGAUGACUAAUCUUUUCACCAAUGUAUUAUAAUUGUGAUGGCCGUGUCAAUCACACCAAUUUUUUCACGCAAAAUAAAUUUUCUUUUUAUGAUGCACUAAGUCAUCACUUACAGAUAUACCCUUUUCGUGAUUGCAUUUAAUCUAUCACUAAUAUUUUAAUGUAAAAAAUAAUCAAAACAAUAUUUUAUGACGGUCGUGACAAUCAUUAAAAAAGAUAGAUUUUUGUGACGACUUUUAUUUGCAAUUACAAAAAGAAGGUAUUUUGUGAUGGAAUUCUCAAGCCAUCACAAAAUAAUAAAAUAUAUGAUGACUCUUAGUGAUGACUAAUUUUACCAUCAUUAUAGAGUAUAUGUGACUGCCAUUGCAAUCACUAAAUCUUAUGUGAAAGUAAUUUUGUUUAGUAAGUUAACUCACAUAUGUUUCCUUUUAUAUUUUGUUUUUAAAUUAUAAUCAUGAUCUGGACUUUGGUGUAGUGGCAAUACUCGUUAUUUAGUUUGCAAAUCGGAGAGGGUUCAAAUCCUACAAGUAUCAUUUGAUACAAUUAAUACAGUGAAAUAAAUUAUACGUAAAUAGAUUUUCACAUUCUUACAUUUAAUUCCUAAAGUCUUAUUUUUUUGUGAUGACUUUGACAAUCACAAUAGAUUAUGUGUUAAUGUGAUUGUAUUAAUCAUCACAAAAGCACUAAACGUUUGCGUGAUUGUCAAAACCAUCACGUAAAACCUUUCAUGAUGGGCAUAUACAAGACGGCCAUUGUGAUGCUUAAAGCCAUCACGUAAACCUUUCGUGAUGAUUUUUUAACUUUUUGUGAUGGAUUUUGGCCAUCAAAAAUGACCAUUUUCUAGUAGUGUUCCUUCGCUAGUAUGACCUACCUAAGUUUAUUUGGUAUUUAAUUGGUCGGUCAGAGUAUAGGGAUAAUAUGUGAUAUGUCAAUUAACCCUUAUUUUGUGACAGUGUUUGAAAAUGGCAUCUAAAAAUAUCUUGGGAGAAGUUCCAAGAGUUGUUCAACGACAAGUACUUUCCCAAAAGUAAUCGUCACAUGAAGGAGGUGGAAUUCAUCAAGUUGGAGCAAAACAAUAUGACCGUGUCGCAAUACGAGGCUAAAUUUGCGGAGUUAUCCCGGUUUGCAUCCCAUUUGGUCGAUAAUGAGGAGCGAAUGACGCGAAUGUUUCUAAGAGGUUUGAAACCCGAGAUACGUCAAUACCUCAUUUCUCAUAAACUUUGUUUAUAUUCAGAUAUUGUGAACAUGGCUCAGUUACUAGAGCGCGAUAAUGAGUCAGCACAACCAAAAGGCAACGACCAACAACAUGAUAAUAAUCGUACCGGGGGCAACGGCCAUCGGAACAAUGAUAACCAUCGUGGGGGAAAUUAUCAUGCCAAGAAUGAUAACCACUUCGGUGGUAAUCAUGGCCAAGAUAAUAGAAAUGGAAAUUUCAAGAAGAGAAGGUCAUUUAGCUCAAUUUUGUCGUGCACCAAAGUCAAGUCCAGCUGGGACGGUGGCACCAAAGGCGGAUACGGACAAAAUAAAGUCGGUGGUUUCAGGAAGAGCGUUUUUCGUGACUUCUCAAAAAGCGAGUAACCCGAACGAAGUUAGCACGGGUUAGUUAAUUAUAAAUUCUUGCGAAGUCUAUACCUUAUUAGAUACCGGUUCUACCCAUUCUUUUAUCUCUCUUGCUUGCGCUCAACGUUUAAAUUUGACUCCGGAGAAAUUAGACUUUGACUUAUCUCUUGAAGCUCCGUUAGGAGAAACCUUCAUUACAUGUGUUAUCCAAGUCUUGGAUGAGAGUCAUAGUUUUGAAUGAUAUUUCUAUUGUUAAUAAAUUUCCUGACGUAUUCCUGAAGACUUCUUAGCCUACCCUAGAGCAUGAAAUCAAAUUUUGUAUUGACCCCAGUACAAAACCCCAUUUCUAAAACCCUUAAAUAUUUCUUCAACAAAAACGAACGUAACAUGCGCCAAAGACGUUGGCUCGAGCUGUUGAAGAUUACGAUUAUACCAUUCAAUAUCAUUGUGGAAGAGAGAACGUGGUAGCUGACGCGUUGAGUAGAAGUUCGUAUGCGUUUACGAGUGCGAUGUUGUUAACACAAAGACCCAUUUCCUAUAACUUACAAAUCAAUAAAGUUAAAGCUACUCAAGCUACAGACCCGGAGCUGAUGAAUAUGAAGAAGAAGGUUUAAGAGGGCGUUAUUCUAGAAACAAGAAUCGAUGAAGAGAAGAAAUCUCAACUCUCGAUUUUAUUGGCCCAUUUGAAAUCCUUGAUCAAGUAGGAACUGUGGCCUAUAGACUCGUUUUACCGCUAAGUAUGUCGCGUGUUCAUAACAUUUUUCAUGUAUCGAUGUUACGUAAAUAUGUGGAUGACCCAAACCACGUUAUUAAAUUAGAACUAGACGAGAUAGCAGAAGAUUUAACGUAUAAAGAGAUACGUGUUAAAAUCUUGGAUAAGAAGGAUCGUAUUCAACACUCAAAGGUUAUACCUCAAGAGUUAGAAUCUGAAAUGAAGUCAAGGUAUCCUCAUCUCUUCGGCAUACCAGGUACGUACGUAAAUUUUGAGGGUGAAAUUUCAUAAAGAGGGGAGAUCUGAGACCCCAAAUUUUAUGAAUAAAGAUUUAAAUUUCUCGAAAUAUUUUUUUGAAUAUUAUGGUGUGGAUUUGAUAUAAUGUUAUAAUUGUGGGUAAUAUUUAUAAAUUUUGAAAAGUAUGCAAGUUGUUAUAGAAUAUUUGUUUGGUCGGGGAAUAUUCUUUUUGUUGGGAAUUUCCGUACGACGGCACAAUCAUUGGUGAACCCACAAUAGAAGUAUUGUCAUAAUAAGAAAAAUAACUGAAUUAUCAUUUUAUAAAAAUAACGGCGAAUGUGUUACCGUUAAAACUGUUGAACUACCCGGUAGUAAAAGUAUAGUAAUACGCGUGGUUGUAUAGUAGCACACGAUAUUGGUUAUUGAUGCUUACGUGAGAAGUCACUCAGUUAUACUCAAUUAUUGCUACAGUAAUUGCUGCAUCAUAUCUCUCAUAUUAUUGAUUCAAUUAUUGUUACAGUAUCAUCUGCAUAAUAUGUUAUAUUAUUAAAUCAAUAAUUGAGACGACAAAGUUAUUCAUAUUAUUAUUUGCAAUAUUGACAAUGUCUAGAAGUUCUGUCAAGGAGAGGUUUGGUCACCUAAUUGCGCGCCAAUAAGGAGAAAUCCUUAUCGGAAAGCCCCCUCUUUCCUGGGAACGACCUGGUUGUUAAAUAUUGUGAGUUAUAAUAUUAAUGAUGAAUAAGUUCGUGUUGAUUAAAGAUGAAAUUGAUAGUUCCAUUGUGUUGAAAUUAUUAGUGUUAGUGGAAAUCGACAUUUAUUUCGAUAAUAAUUGAUGUCUGGAGGUUAUAUUAGCCAAUCAGGUAAUUAACUAGAUAAAUGAGCAAUUAAUUGCAACUAAUUCACAUGAUUAUAACUAUUUGUUCACAUGUGUGUACUAUUGAUUCACAUUCAUUUACUAUUAGGGGAGUUGGUGCAAGAUUGAUAAUACUUGCAUGACUAAGUUAAAAAUGGAGGUAUAGAUGGAGGUACUAUACUGUAAUUCGUAUUUUCACAUGAUUAUAACUAUUGAUUCACAUGAUUGAACUAUUGAAUCACAUUAUUUACUAUUAGGGGAGGUGGUGCAAGUUUGAUAAUACUUGCAGGACUGUAGACACUCGAAAUUUUCUGCACUCCUAUUACUAACAUUGCAGGAGGGUAGAUUUGUCUUUUGGAGAUAACCCUGGAAGACAGCUUACAUCCAUUUCGGAUACUACCGGAGAUUCAGGUCCAACCCGGAACACAAACCGGGAAUGUCCAUUCCAAUCCAGAACACAAACCGGGAACAUCAUCUCAAACCCGGAACACACACCAGGAAUGUCAUUUCCAAUCUCGAAGAUAACCCGAGAUAUGCAGAUCAAAAGACUGACAACAACACCGAAGAGGACAGUUCUGUCUCGGCGAUAACACCGCGACGCUCAGUUCCAGUCCUAGAGACAACACUGGGAGUAGCAACCCCAUCCUUGGUGAUAGCCCCAAAGGAUGCCAUUGCAGUUCCGGUGAUAACCCCGGGAAUGCUUGUUUCAAACACAUGCUAUCAGCUUCAAUCCAGAUGACAGUGAGGCAUACAAACAAACAGCCCAAUCUCAGAUGUAACCCUGAGCAACGUCUGCUUUUCGCUUAAACCGGCUAUAAACCCGGUGAGGAGUCACAACGUCAUCUUACCACGUCAACAAGAUUAUAUCGCAACAUACUAACAAGUAGUCCAAUCUCAGCUGUAACCCUGAGCAACGUCUACUUUCAACUCAAACCGGCGAUAACCCCGGCGAGGAGUCAAACAUCAUCUUGUUCCUUCAACAAAUGGCAUGUCGUCUCAAUACUUCAUACAUACAUACAACCAUGUCCCACAAGAACCGAGGAGUGACAAUCCCGAGUGACUAUUACGUGUGGUAGUACUUUAGAU
rnacentral:lncRNA from 1 species